rnacentral:misc_RNA from 1 species
UCCUCGUUUAAGCGAGGCAGUCUGUCCAGAGUGCUCCAAACUCUCGUUCGGAUCGCAACAGGACAUAAGGGUUGCGCUCGUUGCGGGACUUAACCCAACAUCUCACGACACGAGCUGACGACAGCCAUGCAGCACCUGUGCACGCUGGUAUUGCUACCUCGUUAGGCUUUCACCCUUCUACUACGUGCAUGUCAAGGCCAGGUAAGGUUCUUCGCGUUGCGUCGAAUUGAACCACAUGCUCCACCGCUUGUGCGGGCCCCCGUCAAUUCCUUUGAGUUUCAGCCUUGCGACUGUACUCCCCAGGCGGCAUAUUUAACGCGUUAGCUCCGGCACGAAGGGGGUCGAUACCCCUCACGUCUAAUGUGCAUCGUUUACGGCUAGGACUAC